UUUCUCUGGUUUCUUUUCAGUCACAUAUAAAUCUUUCAUAUUUUACUAAAGAUUUUUGGGGAGAGGAAUAUCAAUGAGCUUGGUGUAUUUUCACGAGCUUUGAUUUGGCAAAGCU